rnacentral:rRNA from 1 species
GACGAACGCUGGCGGCGUGCUUAACACAUGCAAGUCGAACGGGCCUUGUCCCCUUUUUUUUUGGGGGUGGGGUUAGUGGCGAACGGGUGAGUAACACGUGAGUAACCUGCCCCUCACUUCUGGAUAACCGCUUGAAAGGGUGGCUAAUACGGGGUGUUCUGGCCUGCUCGCAUGGGUGGGUUUGGAAAGAUUCGACCGGUUUUGGUUGUUUUGGUGGGGGAUGGGCUCGCGGCCUAUCAGCUUGUUGGUGGGGUGAUGGCCUGCCAAGGCUUUGACGGGUGGCCGGCCUGAGAGGGUGGGCGGGCACAAUGGGACUGAGACACGGCCCAGACUCCUACGGGAGGCAGCAGUGGGGAAUAUUGCACGAUGGGCGCAAGCCUGAUGCAGCGACGCCGCGUGAGGGAUGGAGGCCUUCGGGUUGUGAACCUCUUUCGCCAGUGAAGAAGGUCCUGCUCUUUGUGGUGGGGUUGACGGUAGCUGGGUUAAUGAAGCGCCGGCUAACUACGUG